CGGGGAAUAUUGGACAAUGGGCGCAAGCCUGAUCCAGCCAUGCCGCGUGAGUGAUGAAGGCCCUAGGGUUGUAAAGCUCUUUCAACGGUGAAGAUAAUGACGGUAACCGUAGAAGAAGCCCCGGCUAACUUCGUGCCAGCAGCCGCGGUAAUACGAAGGGGGCUAGCGUUGUUCGGAAUUACUGGGCGUAAAGCGCACGUAGGCGGAUUGUUAAGUUAGGGGUGAAAUCCCAGGGCUCAACCCUGGAACUGCCUUUAAUACUGGCAAUCUCGAGUCCGAGAGAGGUGAGUGGAAUUCCGAGUGUAGAGGUGAAAUUCGUAGAUAUUCGGAGGAACACCAGUGGCGAAGGCGGCUCACUGGCUCGGUACUGACGCUGAGGUGCGAAAGCGUGGGGAGCAAACAG
rnacentral:rRNA from 1 species